rnacentral:rRNA from 1 species
ACCAGACUCCUACGGGAGGCAGCAGUGGGGAAUAUUGGGCAAUGGGCGCAAGCCUGACCCAGCAACGCCGCGUGAAGGAAGAAGGCUUUCGGGUUGUAAACUUCUUUUCUCAGGGACGAAGAAAGUGACGGUACCUGAGGAAUAAGCCACGGCUAACUACGUGCCAGCAGCCGCGGUAAUACGUAGGUGGCAAGCGUUAUCCGGAUUUACUGGGUGUAAAGGGCGUGUAGGCGGGAAAGCAAGUCAGAUGUGAAAACCACGGGCUCAACCUGUGGCCUGCAUUUGAAACUGUUUUUCUUGAGUACUGGAGAGGCAGACGGAAUUCCUAGUGUAGCGGUGAAAUGCGUAGAUAUUAGGAGGGACACCAGUGGCGAAGGCGGCCUGCUGGACGGUGUACUGACGCUAAGGCUCGAAAGCGUGGGGAGCAAACAGGAUUAGAUACCCGAGUAU